rnacentral:rRNA from 1 species
GGCCUUUUGGUUAAUUUUAUUUAAGGUUUAACCUGCCCAAUGAUUUAUAAUUUAAUGGCCGCGGUAUUUUGACCGUGCAAAGGUAGCAUAAUAAUUAGUUUUUUAAUUGAAAGCUAGAAUGAAGGGUUGAAUGAGAAAAUAACUGUUUUUAUAAUAUUUAAUUAAAACUUUAUUUUUAAGUUAAAAAGCUUAAAUUUUAUUUAUAGACGAGAAGACCCUUUAGAGUUUUAUAAUAAUAUAUUUUUAAUUUUUUAGUAUUUAUAUCAAUAAAUUUAUAUUUUUAUUUAAUUGGGGUGAUUGAAAAAUUAAACAAACUUUUUUUUUUAUUUAACAUUAAUAUAUGAAUAAUUGAUCCAUAAAUUAUGAUUAUAAGAAUAAAUUACCUAAGGGAUAACAGCGUUAUUUUUUUUGAGAGUUCUAAUCGAAAAAAAAGAUUGCGACCUCGAUGUUGGAUUAAAAUUAAAUUAUGGUGUAGAGGCUAUAAAUUA